AUGAGAGUUUGAUCCUGGCUCAGGACGAACGCUGGCGGCGUGCCUAAUACAUGCAAGUAGGACGCACAGUUUAUACCGUAGCUUGCUACACCAUAGACUGUGAGUUGCGAACGGGUGAGUAACGCGUAGGUAACCUACCUAUUAGAGGGGGAUAACUAUUGGAAACGAUAGCUAAUACCGCAUAACAGUAUGUAACACAUGUUAGAUGCUUGAAAGAUGCAAUUGCAUCGCUAGUAGAUGGACCUGCGUUGUAUUAGCUAGUAGGUAGGGUAAUGGCCUACCUAGGCAACGAUACAUAGCCGACCUGAGAGGGUGAUCGGCCACACUGGGACUGAGACACGGCCCAGACUCCUACGGGAGGCAGCAGUAGGGAAUCUUCGGCAAUGGGGGGAACCCUGACCGAGCAACGCCGCGUGAGUGAAGAAGGUUUUCGGAUCGUAAAGCUCUGUUGUUAAGGAAGAACGAGUGUGAGAAUGGAAAGUUCAUGCUGUGACGGUACUUAACCAGAAAGGGACGGCUAACUACGUGCCAGCAGCCGCGGUAAUACGUAGGUCCCGAGCGUUGUCCGGAUUUAUUGGGCGUAAAGCGAGCGCAGGCGGUUAGAAAAGUCUGAAGUGAAAGGCAGUGGCUCAACCAUUGUAGGCUUUGGAAACUGUUUAACUUGAGUGCAGAAGGGGAGAGUGGAAUUCCAUGUGUAGCGGUGAAAUGCGUAGAUAUAUGGAGGAACACCGGUGGCGAAAGCGGCUCUCUGGUCUGUAACUGACGCUGAGGCUCGAAAGCGUGGGGAGCGAACAGGAUUAGAUACCCUGGUAGUCCACGCCGUAAACGAUGAGUGCUAGGUGUUAGGUCCUUUCCGGGACUUAGUGCCGCAGCUAACGCAUUAAGCACUCCGCCUGGGGAGUACGACCGCAAGGUUGAAACUCAAAGGAAUUGACGGGGGCCCGCACAAGCGGUGGAGCAUGUGGUUUAAUUCGAAGCAACGCGAAGAACCUUACCAGGUCUUGACAUCCCAGUGACUGCCCUAGAGAUAGGGUUUCCCUUCGGGGCACUGGUGACAGGUGGUGCAUGGUUGUCGUCAGCUCGUGUCGUGAGAUGUUGGGUUAAGUCCCGCAACGAGCGCAACCCUU
rnacentral:rRNA from 1 species